GCCAUGGGGAAAGCGAUCUCCCCACCAGGCGACAUGCCGAAGAAUCGCGUCCCGCUCUCUGCGAAGAGGACGCCCGCAUG
rnacentral:ncRNA from 1 species